rnacentral:snRNA from 1 species
AGAAUAAAGAGAAAGUCAUAAAG